rnacentral:rRNA from 1 species
UGGCCUACGGGGGGCAGCAGUGGGGGAUAUUGCACAAUGGGGGAAACCCUGAUGCAGCGACGCCGCGUGCGUGCCGCCGUCAUUCGUUCCGUCCCGCUCUCUCCGCCGGGCCGCCAAUGCCGGUACCUGACUAAGAAGCCCCGGCUAACUACGUGCCAGCAGCCGCGGUAAUACGUAGGGGGCAAGCGUUAUCCGGAAUUACUGGGUGUAAAGGGAGCGCAGACGGCAGUGCAAGUCUGGAGUGAAAGCCCGUGGCUUAACCACGGGACUGCUCUGGAAACUGUGCAGCUAGA